AGUUCGUUUCUAAUUUUACAUUCAACUGUAUUGAUAUUUUUUUUCGCCAUCUGUUUAUAAAAUGAGCAACAAGAAUAAGACAGUGUUUGUCACGGUUGGAACGACGCAGUUCGACCAACUCGUACUGAAAGUCGCCACAGAAGAAAUAUGCCAGAAAUUAAAUGAUCUUGGUUUCAAGAGAAUGAUUAUACAAGCUGGACAUAGCAAACCCCCAUCGAAAAAGGCAGUAGCUGGUGUUGAAAUUUCUACCUUUGAUUUCAAGGAUUCAAUCUUAGAAUAUCUCCAAAAAGCCCAUCUGGUGAUAAGCCAUGCAGGUGCUGGUACCACUAUGGAGACACUUAAUGAAGGCAAGCCACUAAUAACGGUGGUUAAUGAAAAAUUAAUGAACAACCAUCAAAUAGAACUGGCUGAACAAAUGUCGAAAGAUGGUUACUCUUUGUUUUGUACUUGCAGCGGUCUUCGUGAAACACUGAAUAGAUUUGAUAAAAUGGUUUUUGAAACAUACAUUCCUGGAGAUCCGACAAAAUUUGGAAUAUUCAUGGAUAAAGUUGUUGGCUUCUCCUGAUGAACCGAUUCUUCACUCUGACCAAACUCUGACUCGGAGCCCCCCUCUCCCAAAUUUCUUCAAUUUUCAUUUUGCAACAUUUUUUUUUCCUCUCAUCAUUCCUCUUAGUCUUUGUUCCUUUCUGUUUGUUACAUUUUUGUUUUCGUUUUUUUUUUUGUUAUUUACAUGUUUAGUAAUGAUUUCAACAUUUAGGCUCAAGCCAACAAUGUUGAGGCCGGACAGCAUGGAGUAGUCUAUACCAGCAGCUAAUUGACCUGAAGGAACUUGGGACACUGCAGACAACAUCAAAGGACUAAAUGCAGCAACACACA